GCCUUACAUAACCGUCCAUCCGAGUGGUGUGGACGCUAGGGACGGCGUGCGGGGAGCUCGGCACCGGCGGUAACCUUGUCAACAGCGGCGCGGCCAUGAGGCCUGCGUCACGUCCCUCCUGACGUGUUGUCAUGCGUUCACUACGACUCGCCUACCUGUGCUGUCGUCCGCUCGGCCUCUUCACGACGAUCCCGAGGAGCGAGGGCCGGAACCAGUUGGCUGCUUCACUUCCAUGUGGAGCGUGCUCGCCGUGACCCACUUGACUCGCUCGCCUCCAGCAGACGGGACUUCUCAUCCACCGCUAGCUCGCCCGGACGUGUUUGCGCUCACACGCGCCGCUGCGGGCUGCGAAUCCGCCUCGGAACCCGCUGAAAGUUGUGCGUCAGCCGAGCGGCCGGCAGGUGGACCCGCCGCUGGUGUUGACAAACAAGGCUGCGUGGGCAACACACCACUCUCGGCUGCUAGCGCAGCGCGGCUAGCCCGGCCAGCUAACCCGCCUGCUACAGCCGCGGCGGGCUGCCAAAGUCCGCUCCGCCGGAGCCUGACUCGGGUUCCAGCAGCACCGGGGGGCUCGGAAGCAACUCCUCGUGUGACUUGUGCGGGGUUUCCGUGCGUCAGCGGCGGCCCGCUGGCGUCGUUGAAGCCGACUCGUCGCUCCGCUCGCUGCUCUCCGCCAUUUCCACUCUCAACACAAACAAACAGGCAAGCGCGCGCGCGCCAAGCUGCCGCGCGCGCCCCCGCCGCGGGAGCGCGCCGCCGCCGCUCGGCGUCAAAACAAAACCAUUUUCGAUGUUACAUUGAAACUCUCUGAGAAAUCUGUCGUGUCGGGAUGUGGACAAACCGGACACACGCAACACGUUACACACACACACACGCACGCACGCACCAGGCUCGAGUCGUUGACCUCGCGGUCACAUGCGCACGCGCUUUGAUCAACAACGAACCUAUGACAGAUUGAGGUGUGUGUGUGUGUGUCGGGGAGCAGACACACCUCACCACCACUGGACCUCGACCUCCCUCUCACAGGUAAACGAUCAACACACAAUCUGAAAGCAGUGAUGACACGAGAACACGCCCUCGAAAUCAGUGGGAAUCAUGACUCAACUAUUUCCACGCACACAAACAAGGACACACGUGCACAUGCAGAGCCCCCCCAACAUAGACGCACAACGGAGCGAGCUCAUUCAGAUCUCCAGUGAGGAGGAGAAGAAAGAGCUGAGCCAGGAGCUGUGGCUCACUCCACAGGUGAGAGGAGGCUCUCUGUCUGGAGAGGCUUGAUGACGCCGUCCUCUGAAGCCACGGAGCAGGGAAGUGUGCGGCUCCUCACCUUUCACACAGCCUCAAGCAAGGCACACUCAAAGCAGCUGAGUCAGCGCGGAAACAGACCAUGUAUCUUGAUGAUUCUUCUUCUGUCUUUCCUGACGGAAUAUUCAGCUCAAACGUGACGAUGGAUGUUGAAGUUGAACUGUAACACACAGUUUUGUGGGCAGCCGAUGGCUCCCACAUGGAAGCUAAACUGAGGGCAAGAGACUCCGCUCACAAACCAUGAACAAGAACGCCUCACAAGACACCAAACCCAUUCCACACCGUUUUACUGUCUCAGCCACGCUGCAUCUACACUGUCAGUCAGAGGUCAGAAGGUCAUUCUGCUCACUCGCCGCCAGCAGGAGCAGCCAACACUGACGUGACUCCUGCUCCUCUCCUGGUUCACAGGCUCAACAAGGACAGGGCAGAUGAUUCACAGAAAUGGAUAAAAAGCUUGAAUCCGAGGGUUGACGACGCGACAGCCGACGUGCUUCCUGGUUCUCCUGGGAGGCUCCUCACUUGAAGAGCUGGAGCUUGCGCAGCAGCGGCUGCACCGCCUCUUUAGGACACGGCUUCAGAGCCAGACAUGUGGGGAUGUUUUCCGGCUGCUCCACCCAGAGCUUGUGAGCCACUCCAGCCUGGGUGAGACUUGCAGACAAGCUGCAGAGCGACGCCUCAUCAGGAGCCUUCAGGAAACACAGCACAGAGAGGAUUAGCAGGGAGCUUGGCAGAUUUAGCAGUGUCCCAGUAAACUCUUGGUCAGAGGAGGAGGAAGAGGAGGUGCAAGGGAUAGAUCUGGGGUCACCAAGCCUUUAGCAACCGCCAGCUGCUCCAGGGGCUCCGUGUGACCCCUCUGGGUGGGUCCAGCACACACUUCUGAAUUCACUAUGGAUGAUGAAUGACGUUCCUCUCCAAUACUAGCUUUCACAAUAACUACCAAGGGUGUGACAAAAAAAACAAACAGUCAUUUAAAUUAUGAUAUCAUUUAUGAUUCACCUAUCAGCCCACAUCACCAUGAAAACAGUAUUUGGGAUUUCAUAUGUGACAUUUAUAUUUGUGUCGUUUACAGAGCAUGUGAAGUUACAAACUGCAUUUCCCUCUGGAUUCGUAAAGUCUUACGGAUGUCGGAGAGCCCUGGUGCAGAGGAGCUUGAUUUUAAACCCAGGUGUUACGGAAUAUAUUGAAACCAUUGCUGUACGCCGAUAUUAGCUUGACGCUCUCUAAUCUGAUUAGUGUUCUGAAAACAAGGCCAGUUUUUCCUCAGGUUCUAACUGCAGCCGCCCGACUCUCCUCCACACUCCCGGUGCAAGUCAGGGCUCGGAGCUGGAACCUACCCCGAGCACCACCUUGUGCAUGUGGUCCAGGUCCUCCAGGUAGCGCUGCGUGUCCGGGUCACAGUAGUGCAGGUGGACGGCGGCGGUGGCCGCGUGACACGCCUGCGUGAUCACGGCCCCCAGGGGCCAGGACAGCUGGCGGACCAGAUCCGCCCGGACCACCACAUACUGCACCAGGCGGCUGGGAGCGGCGGCGGCGGCUCCGGCUCCUGUGGCGGCCAUGCUGGAGGUGACCCGGAAGUGGGUCAGCGCUUGUUUAUCUUCCGGUGCAGCCACGUCAUCAAGCGGUGACCGCAGUGACAGACGCGACCGUCCUCAACAUGACCGCCAUGUUGUCUGCGUCCAACACGGAGCGGACUCGCAGGUUUUAGACAGUUGUCACUGUCACUGCCCGAUGUGGUCCGCCUGCCUGAUGAGGUCCGCCGGAAGUUCCGGGACUGGAACCGGAUGUUAGAAACACGCAUGCGGAAGGUCUACGAAUGGUGUAUAGCGGUUAUAUCGCGUAAAUUUGAAUAGUUGUCAAAAUAGUCUGUAUUUAACAGUAAAAUCUGGAAAUUAUACGUUUUCACGCUCAUGCGUCGCACGAUCUGGUCCGUCUGCCUGAUGUGGUCCGCCGGAAAUGAUGGUGCUGAAGAAAGGAAGUUACCGACGAACGGGUUUACGGUCAGUUGGUGAAACAUGCGCAAUUUCCGGUUCCAGUCCCGGGAUUUCCGGCGGACGCAUCAGGCAGUGACACCUGUCAAACUAGUGAUAAUAGUAACAUCUAGAAGGAAGUUGGACUUCAGCGGUACUUUCCGGUCCAGAGGUUCCGCAUUUCAUCAUACAUCUUCAUCUUCACACCGGACUCCAAAAUCAUCAUCACCACAGUCCAGACGACCUCGGUCCCGUUGCAAAAUCUGCUGAGACAUCUACGCGGCUGGAACAAACCUCCCACAGUCCUGAGACCAGAACCCGGCCCCUACUCUAUGAUGCUGCGUGGGCCCACGUACAGAGAGAGAGCACAAUCACCUACCGUAUAGCCUUGACACAUAUAUGUCUUACUGUGGUCCACCGACGGCCAUUAGCAGCAUGAUGACCAGCGUCUGGGUUGUCGUCUACUUCCAAGGAAAGCCGAUCAGAAAGUAAGGAAACGGAAACAUCAAAGAUACGGAUGAUCAUCGUCACUGUACGACCGGAGGAGACACGUCCACAGUCCAACAAUCUGAGAGAAAACCAUCAGACCGCUCCACUCCAGCUCAGCGUGAAAACCAAUGACAUCAAGUUCUGUGCGUUGGAUUCCAGCGACGGACAGUGAAUCGAACGGAUGGAUGACGAUAAAGAACAAAGAGUUGGUGGUCAAUCAAAAGGAAAAGUACUGAGCGAACCACUCCUGACGCUGGACGUCGGCAGAGUCGAUGGCAGAGUCCUUGGUUUCAGGAGGGCUGAGAGAGAGAGAGAGAGGAGAGAGAGGACCACUUAUCGCUCAGCAUCAGCCAGAAUGGAGCACAAACACCGGGACCACGUUCACCUCGGGUUUCUCUUUUAUUGAUUCAUUUCUAUUUCAGGUCAUUUCGAGAAGGGACCAUUCUAAAUCCCAAUCGUCACUUGAUGAACUUGGGUGGAGAGGUCGGCCUGUGACCGAGCGGGUGUUUGUGUCGUCGCCUCCCUGAGCAAGGUUCUUCCCCUCAGCCAUCAGCAUCUUCAACACUGAAUUACUCAACGCACCUCAGUCCUUUUCUGCUUUUUGCACUUCCAGUCUGCACAGUGUUUUUUAUUUCUACUCUUAUUAUUAUUAUUGUGAGUGUGAAUAAUAGAAAAUAUACUCUUCUAUUUCCUACCUGACAAACAAAUUCCCCGCAUGUUAAAACCUACUUGGCCACUAAGCUGAUGAAGACACUUGGCCCUGGUUUGCUCCCGACGGUUCCGCUGGAGCCCAGUGCCACCAGUGUGUGAAUCGACACUACCACAGUCAACUGAAAAUCGUUUCCAUUGACUGACUGAUCAAAAUAACAAGGAGCGUUUUUCAUAAAGCUACACUGUCUGCUCACAAAACGAACCAAAACGAACUGAAAUUGCAGCGAAACCGUCCUUUGUUUAUUUCAUGAAGAAGCAUUUUGAGAUGAUUUCAAAUGGAUCUGGUUUCACCACAGGGGUCGGCAGGUGCCGCGUCCGUGACGUCACUUCCCGCACGUGAUGCAUGGUUUUUACAUGCGGUCUGUUGUUGUGGCUCUUAUGACUGAGGGUUUUGCCACCUAUUUCAACCUUGGUCCAACACCCCAAUACCAAAACUGAAACUGAUCAAACCUAACUGAAUUUGAAAGACAACAUUUCUAAACUUAAAAAAACAAAAACAAUCGAAUAAAAGGAAUGAAAAAUCCUGUUCAAACCUUGGAGUGAGGGGGUGACGCUUUGGCUGCUGGAUAAACAUGCAAAGCGCUAUGUAGCUAAACGUCAUUGACCUCUACGUUAAAUAAUGAAUAGUACUUGGAAUUAAAAUAUCAUUACAAGUCUAUUCGUGGCGCGGGUCGGUUGGAAUUGUCGUGUUGACAACACUGCCAUCUCCUGGUGUCUCUUGGUAAAGCAGCACAGCUGUCCAGGCUCGCAUCGAGGUAAGGCCGCGCUUCAGCUGGACCAUUGUUUUGUUUUGUCUGAUCACAGUGAGAAAGCGUCUCGUGUUUUGCCCUUCAGACCCUGCAGCGAUGAACCUCAGCAGCUCAUGCAGGCGGCCGGCCCGUGACCUCUGGGGGCGGCGGCGGCGGUGGUGGUUCUCACGGAGACGGAAGCGUCAGGCACAUCGGAUGACAUGCGCGUGAAGCACCUGAGAGGUUCCACCACACACAGAACAGUCCAGCUCAGCAUGCAGGAGUGCGGCGGUGAGGGUGAGGAUGGGAUGGCGCAGCAGAACAAGACACAUCGCUGCAGCAGCUCCAGCAUGCUCCCACCUGCGGCGGACAGAGAAGAC